GAAAAUUAGACUUUGACACUUUGAUAUAAGGAAAGACUUUAUUCAAUUCAACAAGUUUGUCAUAUGAUGGGUGACCAAAUCGUAAAUGCCACAGAUUACAUUCUUUUGUGCUAUCUAUAGAUUGAGCACUCUUAUUUCUAUUUACAUUAUUGGUACUAGUUAGACUAUUUGCAAUAGAAGCAGAAAAUUUGAAGUCUUGCUUGUCUGACAAGCAAGCAGAACCAGUGAAGUUGGAGAAUCUGACUGUGUACAAUCCAUGCUUUACCUCAGCUACACCAAUCGUCUUCAUUGUGAAAUUUUCCUGUA
rnacentral:lncRNA from 1 species